AAGGGGGCUAGCGUUGCUCGGAAUCACUGGGCGUAAAGCGCACGUAGGCGGCUUCUUAAGUCAGUGCUGAAAUAUCCCGGCUUAACCGGGAGGGUGGCAUUGAUACUGAAUGACUUGAGUGGAGUUGAGGUAGGCGGAAUUGACGGUGUAGCGGUGAAAUGCUUAGAUAUCGUCAAGAACACCGAUAGCGAAGGCAGCUUACCAAGCUCUAACUGACACUGAUGCACGAAAGUGUGGGGAUCAAACAGG
rnacentral:rRNA from 1 species